rnacentral:rRNA from 1 species
UACGUAGGGUGCGAGCGUUUAAUCGGAAUUACUGGGCGUAAAGCGUGCGCAGGCGGUAAUGUAAGACAGAUGUGAAAUCCCCGGGCUUAACCUGGGACCUGCAUUUGUGACUGCAUUGCUGGAGUGCGGCAGAGGGGGAUGGAAUUCCGCGUGUAGCAGUGAAAUGCGUAGAUAUGCGGAGGAACACCGAUGGCGAAGGCAAUCCCCUGGGCCUGCACUGACGCUCAUGCACGAAAGCGUGGGGAGCAAACAGG